rnacentral:lncRNA from 1 species
CCGAUUUGAAACAAGAGAGGCAGCACUUGGCCCACGAGGCCCUAAAACUCCACCGCAGCGCAUCAGAAGUCCCUGGAUCGGCGGAUGAAGACCAACGGGUCCUGGACUCUGCCGAUCAGAUCCGACGUCGGGCGAUUGCGGCUAUCGAUACCCUUCUGGGUAAUCUGUAAAGCACUGACUACUUUGUACGAACAUUUAAUAACUGCUUUGACCGUCCUUCGCGACACCCCUUCUAUUUAUUGCCUUUCUUAUUUCCGACGGGACGCGCCCUUACCGAAUAUCCACGCUUCUUUCUCUUAUAAAUGCCGGCCUAGACUCCCCCUUUCCGAUAGUACCAGCUUGGCUUUCGGCUUUAUUCUCUCACCCUUCUCGUCGGCGCAACCUUCUGUCAUGUCUUCG